AGUAACAACACGCCAAGCUGUAGUGAAACACAAGGAUGAAUUAAUCACACUGGAAGAGAAACACAAUAAAGAAUGUAUGUUUUGCGGUCAAAAGGAAAUAAGCGAAAGAUCAUAUGGUUUACUUUACCAGUUUAAUGACAUUGUUGUUCACUAUUUUUGUAUUGUAAGUGCAUUUUCUAGCUAAAUAAUGAUUUAUUACACAUAAAAGAGAUUUAUAAAGUAUAAUCCUUGAUAAAUUAUUUUUAGUUAUUAUCUUCAAGAGCUGUUCAAAACGGAGAAGACAAAGAUGGAAUUUUGGGAUUUUUAAUUAAAGAUAUUAAAAAUGAAUUGAAUCGAGGAUCAAGAGAAGUAAUAAUAGGUAUCCUAUACAAUAGGUAUUUUAAAUAAUCAUAAUUACCUAUGAUUUAGAUUUGCAUUUAUUGCAAGAAGAAUGGUGCUACAAUAUCUUGCUGUGAACCAAGAUGUCGAAAAAUAUUUCAUCUUCCCUGUGGAAUGGCAAAUGGUUCAAUGCAUCAAUUUUAUCAAAAAUUUAAGUAAGUAAAAAAUAAUUUUAUGAAAUAGAAUUUUAACAAUUCUAAAUUUAAUGGGUGGUUGGCAUAUUUCAUAUUUUUAAUUUUUUUUUUUUUUUUGGAUCCCUGUUUUAGUAAGUGAAUUAAUACAUUUUAUGAAAUCACAUCCAUUUUAAAUUAUAUUUUUUAUAACGUUCUAAAAGAAUACCAGUAGUUUUAGUUGUCAAUUGUUUUUAAUACUUUUUUCUUUUUUGGAAUAUUCCCUGUUUUAUUUUAAAAAAAUGACAAUGCAAAGUUAUGUAAUAACUGUAGACCUAUUUCUUUGGCAUUAACAAUCUGUUAACCUUUUGAAGAAUGUAUUAAACUAGAUUAGUUAAUUUUUAGAUAAAUAUAAUUUUUUUUGAAAGAGAUUAUUCACUUAUCAUGCAUUAUAUUUCACAUUAAUAUAAUAAGGUAUUUUGAUGAGAAUAUAAAUAAAAAUAAUGAAAUUUUAGGAUUAUUUAGAAACUUAAAAGCUUUAGAUUCCAUUGAUUAAAAUACAAUGAUAAAUAAACUGGAGUUCUGUGGUAUUUGUGAGACUCUGGUUAUUUAUAUAAUUUGAAUAAAACUCAAGUGGUUAAAAUAAAAAAUUGUUAGUACUGAAAUUGUAACUACUUUUGGUGUAUCAAUUGGGAUAGUAUUAGGUCCAGUUUUCUAUCCUGUAUAUAUGAAUGGAUUUUUAAAAUGAUAGUAAUAUUAUCUGCUUUGCGAAUGAUACUGUCUUGUUAUUUAAUAAUUGCUGAAUAAAUAAUCUUUAUGACAGUAAAUGUAGGUAAUAACUCUUUACAAUGAAACACUAAAUAAUUCUACUAUCUUCAUUUUUGUAUUGACAAUCUAUAUUUAGAUAUUGCUAGAUAUAUAAUUUUUGAUUCUGUGUGCAGCGAAGAAUGUAUUACUAUUGGUUUUUUGAAAUAUGCUUAUUAUUUGUUUUUAUUUUUUUAUACUGUGUAUUAAAAUUCUACCAGAAAUCUUGAUCUUGUGUAUAUGAUGUAGACCUUUUUCUGAAAUUAAAUUUUUUUGAGGUGGUAUUUUAGGGAGCUCCAUUUUCUUGGCAGUUUUCAAGUAAAAGAGAAAAAUGGGAAAUUUACAAAAAUAAUGCUUAUUAUUUUUCAAUUUUGUUAUUUGUAAUUCUGUUUAGUAUAUUUGUAGAAUAGAAAACUUAUGUUUGCUUUUUCUAGGCAUGGUAAAAUUUUUAAAAUAUUAUAUUGACUCUUCGGACUCGGCUUGAAAAAGUAACACUAUUAACUGAACUCCGCUCAGAAUGAUUUUUUUUUUUGUUAACAAUGGUUUAUUGUUGCCUAUAAAUACAAAUUAAUUUCCCUUCAUUCCCGAAUUCUCACUAACAACAGUGGCUGCACUCAUUGUGAAAAGUAUGUCUGAUUUUUUUUUUUUGAUAAUAAAAUUUUUUUUAAAAAAAAAUUUAUUUUUAGUAUUUUAAAAAACAUCUUACCUACAAAAUGAAUGAGUGCCAUAUACAUACUUGGUUAAGUCUAUUCUUAUGUAUGGUUUACUCUUCUGGGGAAGUACUUUCAGUGUUCUUACAAAUAGAUUAAAUAUAACUAUUAAUUCUUUUAUACUUUUUUUUGAGUAUACCAAAAUAAUAUUAUCUUCAAGACUAGUCUUAAUAACUUGCGUAUACUUAACUAUAAACAUGUUUGUUUAUUUGUGUUGUAAGUAUAUUAUUGAUACUGUAGUUCAUAAUUAUAUAAUAAAAGAUUUAAAAAUUCAAUUUGUAUUAUUGUUUCAAAAAUGUGUAUACGUUUUAAUAGUUUUUGUUUUGUAUAAUUUGUGUUUUCUUAAUAAUUAAAUUUGAUUCUUUUGGCGUUUUAUGUAAGCAUUAUUAAAUGAUUGAGAUUUUGGUAAUUUUUCUUUUAAAGUUAUAACUUUAAAUUAUAUAACAGAUAAGUUUAGUUAAAAAUGUGUAAAGUAUUUUGUAUUUCUUUUUUCUAUUUAUUAUGUUUAGAACUCCUACCCAAAGCACAGCCAUUGACCAUAGUAGGUGGUUAGUACUUUUGAUCAUUGUUGUUUGGUGAAAUAUAUUUUUAUUAAUAUUAAAUAGAUAAAUUAAAAUUCUUACUUCUAUUAAACAAAACUUAUUAUUUCCAGAUCUUUUUGUUCACAACAUCGUAAGGCACAGGUAAUCGACAUAGCUGACCUACAAAAUAGUUCACCAGUAGAAUGUUCAAUUUGUAAGCAAGGAAUUAUACCAACACCAUUACCAGAUUCCAUUUGGGCUCCAUGUUGUAGACGGAAUGCAUGGUUUCAUCGUAAAUGCAUACAAGACUUGGCAUUAAGUACGGGUUAUUUUUUUAAAUGCCCACUGUGUAAUAACGUUGAAAAAUUCAAAUCCAGAAUGUUGUAUUUGGGAAUUUAUAUUCCAUCAAGGUACCAAUAUCACUUAUAUUAUAUUAUUAUUCAUAUUAAAACUUUACAUCUUCAUAAAAAUUAAACUAGUUGUACCUAAUCUCUGUUCUUUUUUAAUUAAUUGUUGGUAUUGUUGCUUACUGAUAAUUCAUUAAAUUUUCUCUGGAGUUUAUUUACUUAUAUAAUAAAUUUGUUACUGCAUGGCCGUGCUUAGGACAAAUUAAAAAGUCUAUAGAUAUAAAUAUCCCCUGCUCAAAUCAAAUGUGUAAUGAUAAAUUAAAUAGUUUAGAUAUUUUAUUUUUAUGUUGAUGAUAAUUAUUUUUUUCUUGUAACAAAUAUUUUUAACCUACUGAGUUAAGUUGAUAAAAAUUAGUCAUACAUAAAUAAUCGUUUUUGGACGGGUACCCUGUGAAUGUCGUAAUUUUAUACUGUAGGCAUUACAUGAAAAAAAUUGAUCACAGGGACGCUUCAUGGGAAACAGUGCCUAAUGCUUUUGCAGAACUUUUAGAAAGACAUAACUCGUGCGAUGCUACAUCAUGUAUGUGUCCCCACCGUGAUAAAAGACGAUUUAAUCAAGAAAGGUAAGUUGCUGCUAUUUGUAUGUUACUUUAUUAGAUUUUAACUUUGAGUCAAGUUUAAUUUCAUUUUUUUUUUUUUUUUAUAUAUAUAUAUAUAGCGGGUCAUGGGAAAUUAUUUUGUGUACUACAUGUGGCUCUAGUGGUACACAUAAGUUAUGCAGCUCUGUAAAAGCUGACCAAGAAUGGGUAUGCGCCGAGUGCAUAGAGCUAACUGGUUAGAAUAAUCAUAUUUUUUCCUAUUUUGUUAUAAUAAGAUAAUUUAUAAAACCUAACAAUGAGUAGUAUUAAUACUUGUUUUGUUUUAUAAUUCUUCGGCAUUUCUUUAUUAUAAACUAUAAAUAAAUACAUACGAUUUAUGCAUUUCAGAAUUGGCGAAAAAAAGGCAAACAGAAAAAUUAAAAAGCAAUUCUUCAAAAACAGAUAGAAAGAGUGGUAAUUUAUGCUGUAUUUUUCUUAAAAUGUAUUAUUUAAUUCUAAUUCUUAAAAUAAUUAAUUUAAAUUUAGCUACUAUCAGUAAUACUGUAACGGCAACUGUUAGCAAUACUGUAGCUAUUAAUGGAACUCAUAGAAGUAGGAGAAUUCGUGACGCUCCAAUUAUUAAUGUAGAAGCUCAUAAAGCAAAAAGAAAAAGGAGAAAUCUUGAAGAGACGAGAAAUAUGGACAUUCAUUGUGCAGCAUCAACAAGUAAAGGAAAUCAAACAGCUACAAGAAAUGUUGGACUUUUUGGAGCAAACAGACAUGUAGAGUCUCCUGAAGCAACCAGAUACUCAGGAUCUCUUGGAUCAACCAGAAACUCGGGAUCUUUUGGAUCAACCAGAAACUCGGGAUCUCUUGGGGCAUCUAGAUACGCGGGAUCUUUUGAACCAACCAGAUACACUGAAUCUCUUGAAGAAACUGGACAUUUUCUACCUAUGAUGUCAACGAGAGAAUCUCCAAGACCUAACAAUAACAAUAGGGAAUUAAAUUAUCGUCUCAUUCCAUCUACAUCAACAUCACCACCUGUUCCAAUAGUUAUUUCAGAUGAAAGUAAUGACAGCGAUGUAUUGGUAAAUUAAUUUUUUUUAAAUAUAUUUCAUACACAUUCAGAUGUUAUUAUUAAGAUAACAACUCUAAUAUUUUUUACGCUGGAUAUUUAAGCAAUAGCCCAUGGACAUUUUUUUUUUUAAAAAAAAGUUAUUUUUCCACAUUUGGCCAUUUAGUAUAUGGUGUUCUGCUUUUUAUGUAUUUCAGACUUGUUCUUGAUGUUCUAGGAAUUCAAAACAUGAGUACUUUAGGGUGUUCUUUAGAAGAACAUUUUCAUUUAAUUUUUGUAAAUAUUAGACCAUUUCAACAAUGCAAUAUAUAUAUUAUCUUCGUCAAAAUUAAAAGUAAAUAGUAAUCUUUUUUUUUUUUUUAACUUAACUCAGCAAUUCAUUAAUCAAUUACUUUUAAUUCAUGAUCUAGUAUCUAACUGCUUUUAUUAAUCAAAAAAACACUAAUGAUUGUCUUAUUGGAUUAAAAGCAAAUUUUAUAAUUUCUAUAUGGAUUUUUAUGUUAAAAAAAAAGCUUAAAUAUGAUUUUUAUAUCCUUUUAAACAUUGUAAAUAUGUGCUUUAAUAUGCAUUUUUAAAAAAAUAUAUUAUUUAAAAAAAGAUAAACAAGAAACUUAUUUAAGAUGAAAAAGUAAAUUAAUAAUUUUAUGUGAAAAUAAGUAUUAUUUCAACGUGUUUUGUCUGCUCUGAUUUAAAUCAUGAAAUUAAAAUUAUAUACUAACAAUAGACUUCCAUGAUCAAUGCUUGACUUUGUUCAGAUUCUAAUCAGCUUUUUUUUAUGCACAAAACUAAUAAUUUUUAAUUGGAAUGGUUCUUGUUUUGGGUGAUUAAUUAUUCUAUCUGUUCUGGUAUUUUACAAAUAAUUGUUAAAUAUAUGUUCAAUUAAAAUAAAAAUUAAGUCUGAUGGAUCAAUUUUUUACUUUGAUUUUAGUUAUACAUAUAAAACAUAUACACAGGGAGGUUUUUCAUUAAGCGUAUUCACCCCAUUAUUUUGGAUACAUUUAUCAUACAUUCAAAUUCCUAUUUUUGGAAUUUUUAAGUGUAUUUAAAGACAGUAUUUUUAUAUACUUGGAUUAUUCACAACAUUGGAAAAGUAUCCUGUAGCUAUACCAAUCUAGGUUUUUAUUUGAAAAACUAAUGUUGUUAUCACCACAUGAUACUUUUUAAAUUUAAUGAAAAUAUUGUCUUCAUCUACACUGAAAAAUUUUCAAAAUUUCAACAUGUAAAAUUAAACCAACCAAUAAAAUAAAAUAGAGUUGGUGCACAUUUAGGUGAUUCACUUUGAAAAUAUGUAUAUACAUAUAUAUGUAAAUAAAUCUUGUGUCUUUAAAAAUGAAAUCUUUGCUCUAUAUUAUUAAAAUAUUUAAUAUACUAUAUUACUAUAAUUGAUAUACAAUGCUCCUAUUAUAUGUUUUUACAAAGUUCUUUAAUUCAUUUAAAUGAAAUGCAUACAUUUAAAAUUAAUUAGAUAGUUGGUACAACAUGAAUGUGUUUUAUGAAUGUAUACAUUUUCACUUUGAGAAUAAGGCUGUUUGGUAAGUAUCAACCUACUACUUCGGAUUAAUUUCUAAUAAUUUUUGAACAGAUGAUUGUUUAAAAAUAUCCCUAGAAGAGACAUAAUUUUCACCUAAAACUUUAUUUUUAUUUUUAUGAACUACCAUAUUUUAUUUUAUUGUACCCAAUCAUAUUUUGUGAUUAUAGCUCUAAUAUUGGACAUUGCUUAAGUUACCAAUUGUAUUAAAUCAUUAUUAGCUAUGUUUAAAAUAUUUAUUUUGGCUUGUGAUUAUUUUUUUUUUAGUUAUUAAAAUAUGUUGAACCACCGAAAUCAACAUCAAAAGACAAUAGGAAGAAACAAAAAGACGACAUGUCUUUACAAUAUCAUUAUAACUAUUUCCCUGCUAUUGAUGAUGAUCCUAACUAUCCAAAAAUAAGUGACGUUGGGACACUCGGAGAAGUAGCUGGAAACAUUGCUCCUCGCAGAUUUAUUGCUAAUCAAUUGAGAGAUAAAAGUUUACUAUGUGUUGUAACUAGCCGUAAGUAUUUUAAUGUAUAUAAUA